CACGCCACUGCCUAGACCCGGUUGGCUUCUUCUUCAGUUACUUGCAAUGGUAAGGAGAAGAACACCAGUGAGCUUAAGUGAGUUUUACAACCAUCUGUGCUUCACCCUUCUUGUAACAACUCUCCAUUGCACACACAAUGGGCACCAUUCUUUCUCUUUCAACUCGGUUUUAAUGAUGAACUAAGAACACCUCUUCUGAACCUGAAACAUCACUCAAAC
rnacentral:lncRNA from 1 species